AUUGAACGCUGGCGGCAUGCCUUACACAUGCAAGUCGAACGGUAACAGGUUAAGCUGACGAGUGGCGAACGGGUGAGUAAUGUAUCGGAACGUGCCCAGUCGUGGGGGAUAACUGCUCGAAAGAGCAGCUAAUACCGCAUACGACCUGAGGGUGAAAGCGGGGGAUCGCAAGACCUCGCGCGAUUGGAGCGGCCGAUAUCAGAUUAGGUAGUUGGUGAGGUAAAGGCUCACCAAGCCGACGAUCUGUAGCUGGUCUGAGAGGACGACCAGCCACACUGGGACUGAGACACGGCCCAGACUCCUACGGGAGGCAGCAGUGGGGAAUUUUGGACAAUUGGCGCAAGCCUGAUCCAGCCAUGCCGCGUGCGGGAAGAAGGCCUUCGGGUUGUAAACCGCUUUUGUCAGGGAAGAAAAGGUUCUGGCUAAUACCUGGGACUCAUGACGGUACCUGAAGAAUAAGCACCGGCUAACUACGUG
rnacentral:rRNA from 1 species